rnacentral:lncRNA from 1 species
CUCAUUUACAUCCCCUAGGACAAGAAAAAAGACUGAUGCCAGCUCUGUUUUCCAGAAACUGGAAGACUGUGAGGUUACCCAGAUUUCCUACUUCUCUCCACUUCCCCUUUGAAGAAGAGGUAUUUUGUAUCUCGGCAGUGACUCUUUCAGAGGACUGAUGCUCCAUCAAGUCUGCUUUUAGCUUAGUUGGCCCUGAGAUCAUCAUUGAGAGGCAGAGGGAAACGGAAGCAAAGUCCUCCCGACUAGCUAGCUGUGCAACCUGGGGGCGGAGGUUGGUGGGGGGGUCAUGCAACUUUCCUGUGCCAGUUCCUCCUCUGUUCAACGAAAUGCUCUGUCCCCUCAAACUAUGUUAUGUUGGGUGGGUCACAUUAGACUUUCCUCAUCUGUGAAAAGGGGAAAAUACUGGUAUCCACUUCAUUGUUGUUUUUGAGGACUGGAUGAGUCAAACUACACAAAGCAGUUAGAGAAAUACCUGGCACAUAGCUAUGGGGGACUUGCCCAAGACACAAACCUGGAACCGGUGACCAAGCUGAGUGAGAAGUACCUUCCCUAAAUCACACACACAUGCCUACUCUAACUUCUCAGAAGAUUGCACAGUUUCUCUUGGGAUUGCACCUGCCUCCACAAACAAAACUGAAUCCUCAGGUCACAGGAAAUGCAGAGGGGGGGUUGAGAAGCCAUGGAGAGAGGCUGGGGGAGAGGGUAGGAUAUGCGGUGCGUAUCAUAGACUGUGAACAAGUGUCAGGUAUCAACUGUUUAUCUGACACAUGUAUACAGUCAGAAUUGAAUUUUAUGUACAAAUGUGUAUUACUUUAAA